UGGGGAAUAUUGGACAAUGGGCGAAAGCCUGAUCCAGCCAUGCCGCGUGUGUGAAGAAGGUCUUCGGAUUGUAAAGCACUUUAAGUUGGGAGGAAGGGCAGUAAGCGAAUACCUUGCUGUUUUGACGUUACCGACAGAAUAAGCACCGGCUAACUCUGUGCCAGCAGCCGCGGUAAUACAGAGGGUGCAAGCGUUAAUCGGAAUUACUGGGCGUAAAGCGCGCGUAGGUGGUUCGUUAAGUUGAAUGUGAAAGCCCCGGGCUCAACCUGGGAACUGCAUCCAAAACUGGCGAGCUAGAGUAGGGCAGAGGGUGGUGGAAUUUUCUGUGUAGCGGUGAAAUGCGUAGAUAUAGGAAGGAACACCAGUGGCGAAGGCGACCACCUGGGCUCAUACUGACACUGAGGUGCGAAAGCGUGGGGAGCAAACAGG
rnacentral:rRNA from 1 species